rnacentral:tRNA from 1 species
UGGGCUGAGGCUCAGCAGUAGAGCGCUCACCUAGCAAGUGCAAGGCCCUGGGUUCAAUCCUCAGCACCACAU